rnacentral:rRNA from 1 species
CCGGCACGGGUGAGUAACUCGUAUGCAAUCCACCUGUAACAGGGGGAGUAACCCGGAGAAAUCCGACUAAUACCCAUAAUAUGGGCGCUCCGCAUGGAGAGCCCAUUAAAGAGAGCAAUUUUGGUUACAGACGAGCAUGCGCUCCAUUAGCCAGUUGGCGGGGUAACGGCCCACCAAAGCGACGAUGGAUAGGGGUUCUGAGAGGAAGGUCCCCCACAUUGGAACUGAGACACGGACCAA